CGCCUACGCAAGUAGUGAGGAAGUGGGGAUGACGUCAAAUCAGCACGGCCCUUACGUCCAGGGCUACACACGUGCUACAAUGGCCGGUACAACGGGCAGCGAAGGAGCGAUCCGGAGCGAAUCCUAAAAAGCCGGUCCCAGUUCGGAUUGCAGGCUGAAACUCGCCUACAUGAAGUUGGAGUUGCUAGUAAUCGCGAAUCAGAAUGUCGCGGUGAAUGCGUUCCCGGGUCUU
rnacentral:rRNA from 1 species